rnacentral:rRNA from 1 species
AGUGAACGCUGGCGGUAGGCCUAACACAUGCAAGUCGAACGGCAGCACAGUAAGAGCUUGCUCUUACGGGUGGCGAGUGGCGGACGGGUGAGGAAUACAUCGGAAUCUACUUUUUCGUGGGGGAUAACGUAGGGAAACUUACGCUAAUACCUCAUACGACCUACGGGUGAAAGCAGGGGAUCUUCGGACCUUGCGCGAUUGAAUGAGCCGAUGUCGGAUUAGCUAGUUGGCGGGGUAAAGGCCCACCAAGGCGACGAUCCGUAGCUGGUCUGAGAGGAUGAUCAGCCACACUGGAACUGAGACACGGUCCAGACUCCUACGGGAGGCAGCAGUGGGGAAUAUUGGACAAUGGGCGCAAGCCUGAUCCAGCCAUACCGCGUGGGCGAAGAAGGCCUUCGGGUUGUAAAGCCCUUUUGUUGGGAAAGAAAAGCAGCAGGUUAAUACCCCGCUGUUCUGACGGUACCCAAAGAAUAAGCACCGGCUAACUUCGUG